GCGAGACGGCGGCCGCGAACUUCCGGUUUAUCCACUGCUCGGCGCGCGGCUGUACCGCCUUGCGUAAGGCGCGUACUGCGCAGGCGCCGGUCCCACCCCGGAAGCACAUCCCACACUUCCGCUGCGAGCGCGUGCGGCUUCCGCCGGUGACACUGGGUGAUCAAUUGGGCUCAACGGUUCUCGACAUCUCGGUGUCUGCCGGGCGCUGCUCCGAGAAACUCAAGUUGAGCCCAGCUCCGGGACGUGCAUCAUGCAGCAGAUGUAACGCAGCGUGUAGUGCGGUCCUGGGUCGGAAAGCGGGUAACGGAUAACAAGGGGAGGAACCCAGAUGAGUGGGUUUAUUUUUCAAAACCAAGAGGGAGUCUGCUAUGAACCAUUCCUGAGCACCAUGGGAAGAAGCUUUGGCCUGAGCCCAUCUGGUCCCACCUAGAAACAUCAUCACACAGAGAUCAGAGAGGCCCUGGGAGUUCCUCACACCGCUGGCCAGGACUCGGAGAAGCCACCCAUGUGUGACUGCCACCACAGCACAGCAAACGCUCCCCAGGUGACGGCGUCAUUCUCUCUGUCACUGACGGCCCUCUUUGGGGCUCCUUGUGGCCAGAUUCCCCCACACAGAUGGCAGACACACACAAAAAUAUCCCAGUUCGAUCGAUGUCACAGGCUCCUUCGGGUCACACCUGAAACUCCCUCGCAGCCCGUGCUGGUCAGCUCUCCAUCACUGUGACAACACACCAGAGAGUGCUGCCUUUCCUGACCCGGCACGGCUCGGCACCAUUGCGGUGCCCCGGACGAGCAGGUCAAGACCGGAGUGUGCAGGAGAGGAAAGGUGUUCCCCUCGUGGCCAGGAGACAGGAGAGGAAAGGGAGAGCCCAGCCCCAGUGACCAGAGGACUCCCCACCAGGGCCCGCCUCUCAAAGACCCCUUUGCCUCCCACGGUGCCACCCGGGGACCACGCCUUCCAUGGCUGGCUUCGGGGACAGCAGCAGCAGCACCCACACUGCAGCAGAGAACGUUCAUUCCGCACGCGUGUUUGUUGUCUGCAUGUUCAUUCUGUGUCACCUGCCACACUAUAAACUCCUUUCGUUUUCUCACUAAGUGGAACUUUGCA